GAAGAGCCGUAGCUCAGGGGUACAGCAUCCGCUUUGCAUGCAGAAGGUCCCGGGUUCAGUCCCUGGGAUCUUCA